UCGAACCAAUCCAAUAGAAAAAUCGUAAAUUGAACCAACCCAAACAAAAAACCGCAUUUUGUUUGGAUGUAAUCGGAUCAUUUUCUUGCUCAACCGCAUGGUUUGGUUUGAUUUGUGGUUUUCAUUUUACCAACCGAACCAAACCGCAACAUAAGAAAAAUGUUAAUUAAACAUAUCUCACUUAGACCAAUACUCAUAGAAAUUCAAUGGAAACUUUUAUAAAAUGACAUAUUUUUUCUCUUGUUAGAUUCCUUCUUUGUUUUUUAUUUAAAAAACGUAUUUAUGUGCUACUUGAAAUUUUAGAGAAUGAAAAAAUCUUAGUCUUUUGCAUUUCUUACAAAAUAAGAUUACGUUUUGUCCAUAUUUUUACUUGGUAUAUGUUGUUGAAAACAUUGUAAAACGAAAAUGAAAUCGUAAUAUUUGAUGAAAUUUAAAACAUUGCUGAAAAUAUGCUGUGUUUCAACUUUUUAACUUGAUUUUAAUGUUGGAAACAAAAAAAAUUAUAGUCUACAAAAAACUGCACCAACCCAAACCAUAUUGAUUUGGAUUGGUUUGGUUCGGAUUUUAUUUUUAAAGUCAACCAAACCAAACCAAACCGCAUGUUUUUUUAUUCUACGGCUCGGAUGACUUUUACCCUCAAAACUGAAUCAAACCACACCGCGAACAUCCCGAGUAUUCACAGGUUAAUAAUACAAAUUUGAGUGAAGACUGUAUUAUGUGGUAAUCAUGAACAAGACACGCUUUGGGGUUUUAUUCAUUUUGUUUAUUCUCCUUGCUUCUAAGAUGUCGGUACAAGCCGAGGAGUUUAACUUUGCUCCAUUUACUCCACUCCAUUUUCGAGUUGAGAGUUGUUUUACAAGGAGUCGUCGGUAUAAUGGAAUUUGUUUAAGUGAUGAAAGUUGUUUUAAAGCUUGUAGUUUGGAAGGUUAUGCAUGUGGUCGAUGCGAAAAACGCAGGCCAUACCUGGGUGAUCACUGCUGUUGCAAAAAAUCUUGUCAACUCAAGUUGGUGCUCGCGGUGCUCUGUCUUGUGUGUUUCUUUUCUGCUUAAAAUAGUACAAUAAAUUCACGUGAUUUUCAUCCAAUAAUAUUCCAAUUGGAGAAGAAAUGGAAUCACAACUUCUACAGUUUGCAAAGAAAUUACGCUGAGGAAGGGGAAAGAGUGAGCCAUGUUCUAAUAAUAUUCCAAUUUUUAUUUUGGAUGUACGAUCAAAUAAAUUAAACAGUUGAGAUUUUGGUGUACGUAUCUAGUAAUAAACUAGAGGGAGUCUCUAUAUCA